rnacentral:rRNA from 1 species
GACGAACGCUGGCGGCGUGCUUAACACAUGCAAGUCGAACGGUAAGGCCCUUCGGGGUACACGAGUGGCGAACGGGUGAGUAACACGUGGGUGAUCUGCCCUGCACUUCGGGAUAAGCCUGGGAAACUGGGUCUAAUACCGGAUAGGACCACUGCCUGCAUGGGUGGUGGUGGAAAGCUGUUGCGGUGUGGGAUGGGCCCGCGGCCUAUCAGCUUGUUGGUGGGGUGAUGGCCUACCAAGGCGACGACGGGUAGCCGGCCUGAGAGGGUGACCGGCCACACUGGGACUGAGAUACGGCCCAGACUCCUACGGGAGGCAGCAGUGGGGAAUAAUGCACAAUGGGCGCAAGCCUGAUGCAGCGACGCCGCGUGAGGGAUGACGGCCUUCGGGUUGUAAACCUCUUUCAGCACCGACGAAGCGCAAGUGACGGUAGGUGCAGAAGAAGGACCGGCCAACUACGUGCCAGCCGCCGCCGUAAGAC